UCUCUUCUGCAUCCCUUGUUCUGGGAGAAGCCCGCUGCCAUGUUGUGAAUAGCCCCAUGGAGAGGCCUGUGUGAUGAGGAAGUAAAGCCCUCCUGUCAAUAGCCAUGUGAGGGAGAUUGGAAGCUGAUCCUCCAGCCCCUUCAAAUGACUACAGCCACAGCCAAUGGUUUGACUGGGACUUCACCAGACACCCUGAGCUAGAAUGACCCAGCUAAACUGCUCCCAGAUUCCUGACUCUCAGAAUCUGUGAGAUGCCAGGAGAACAUGUCUGUGUUAGCCUGCUGGAGGAUGAGACACACACAAAACAGCACUAAGUCACCCUGUCACUCCAGCUGAGAUGAUCCUAGAUCAGUCAACAACCAGAUGAUCCUCCCACACAUUAGCAAGUCCAACCAAGACCAGCAGAAUCAUUUAGCUGAGCCAAGAUCAGCAAAGCUUCUAAACACACCUCUCAGAUGCAUAAGCGGUGCUAUUCCCAGCUCUUGAUAUGUAUUAGCUCAUUCAAUCUUCAUACCAGCCCUAUCAGGCUUUUACAAAAGAGAGGGGGUCCAACUACAAAUACCUGCUGCCUUCUGCCCUACACAAAUCCCCAAAGCAAGGCAACAUCAGGGGUCCAGCUACUUGCCUGAAACGCAAGAGAAAGAGAAAGAUUCAGUAAAUCAAUUCCAAAUUAUUAUCUCAGCAUAGCAUUCCAACUCUUCUCUACAGAAGGAACUUGCACCCAUGUUCCUGUCUUCUUUUCUGGACCUUGCUGCAGAGAAAAGAGGUUGUGAAGAGCAGAGGAGUGAGAUAAUGAUCCCAGGGUACUGUAAGUAACU